rnacentral:lncRNA from 1 species
GAAGUGGUACACAUCCCUUCUUCUACACCCCACUGCAACGAAAACAGUUCCAUGGCCACACCAAAUUAAAGGGAUAUUGGAAAAGAUAGGAGAAACAAGUUAUGGUGAACAAAUAAGAAAUUCCUAGCAAUCUGUAGACCAAGAUGGGGAAGCUUCUCAUGAGUGAAUGAAUACUUAGGCAAGAAAAGAAGUCCACUGCUCAAGAGUUCCACUGGACAGACUCUCCAGCCAACCUGCACUUCUGCCAGGGCCCAAAAUAUGCCUUGGGCUUUUCUAACAUAUCAACCUUUUGUAUAGAAACCAGACAUCUAAAGGAAUAGGAAGGGUAAGAUUUACAUCUAAUAGCUCCAGUUCUGGAUAAGGUGUAGUAAGCAUAUUCCAUUCUUUCUCUCACAACUAUAAAAAAAAUGGGUAGAAAGAACUGAGGACUAGAAAAGUAAAUAGGAGCGAGCAUACUGGCAAGGAACACCAGAAUUUAUAGCAUCGUAUUUUUCCCACUGAUAUUCCUCAGAUUGGAUUCCAUGCAGGCUGAAACCGGGAAAUGGUAUGCACAGACAGCUCCUGGAGCAGCAAGCUAGUUCUAGCUUGUGGAGCAGGAAAAGGCUCUCCUAACACUCAGAUAGGAAGAUAGUCCCCCAUUUUUUUCUUGUCUCCAUUUUCUUAUACCCUAGCCUCCAAGGAAUCUCAUGGUGGCAAUAGCUCAGCAGCCUAUAGGAACCUAAAAUCAGAGGUAGGGUUGCCUUUCUCUCUGGUC